rnacentral:tRNA from 1 species
GGUUGGUGGCUCAGUGGUAGAGCACUUGCUCAACACGUGUGAGGCACUGGGUUCAAUCCUCAGCACCA